rnacentral:tRNA from 3 species
GCCCAGGUGGCGGAACUGGUAGACGCGCUAGUUUCAGGUACUAGUGGGAGUAAUCCUGUGGAGGUUCAAGUCCUCUCCUGGGCA